UAAAGAAUUUCGGUCAUCGAUGGGGAUGCGUUCCAUUAGCUUGUUGGCGGGGUAACGGCCCACCAAGGCAUCGAUGGAUAGGGGUUCUGAGAGGAAGGUCCCCCACAUUGGAACUGAGACACGGUCCAAACUCCUACGGGAGGCAGCAGUGAGGAAUAUUGGUCAAUGGGCGCUAGCCUGAACCAGCCAAGUAGCGUGAAGGAUGACUGCCCUAUGGGUUGUAAACUUCUUUUAUAUGGGAAUAAAGUGCAGCAUGUAUACUGCUUUGCAUGUACCUUAUGAAUAAGGAUCGGCUAACUCCGUGCCAGCAGCCGCGGUAAUACGGAGGAUCCGAGCGUUAUCCGGAUUUAUUGGGUUUAAAGGGAGCGUAGGCGGGUUGUUAAGUCAGUUGUGAAAGUUUGCGGCUCAACCGUAAAAUUGCAGUUGAUACUGGCAUCCUUGAGUACAGUAGAGGUAGGCGGAAUUCGUGGUGUAGCGGUGAAAUGCUUAGAUAUCACGAAGAACUCCGAUUGCGAAGGCAGCCUGCUGGACUGUAACUGACGCUGAUGCUCGAAAGUGUGGGUAUCAAACAGGAUUAGAUACCCUGGUAGUCCACACAGUAAACGAUGAAUACUCGCUGUUUGCGAUAUACAGUAA
rnacentral:rRNA from 1 species